GUGGCUUCUGAUUUUGAUUUAAUUUAUGCCUGCACUUUUCAUGUGUUUGCAAUGUUUAAUUGAAGCCUAUAAUUGCGUUCCCCUCGCUAUCCACUACUGCAAUUAUGAUGUUGUAAUUGGACGUCGGGGAACAAAAUCU
rfam:Medicago truncatula strain A17 chromosome 6, whole genome shotgun sequence.